UACGUAGGGGGCAAGCGUUGUCCGGAUUUAUUGGGCGUAAAGAGCGUGUAGGCGGUCAGGUAGGUCCGUUGUGAAAACUCGAGGCUCAACCUCGAGACGCCGAUGGAAACCAUCUGACUAGAGUCCGGAAGAGGGAGAGUGGAAUUCCGUGGUGUGAGCGGUGAAAUGCGCAGACUAUCAGGAAGAACACCCGUGGCUAAGGCGGCUCUCUAGUACGGUACUGACGCUGAGACGCGAAAGCGUGGGGAGCGAACAGG
rnacentral:rRNA from 1 species